UACAGAGGUCACGAACGUUGUCCGGAAUUAUUGGGCGUAAAGGGCGCGUAGGUGGUCAGGUAAGUCAGGUGUGAAAGCUCUGGGCUUAACCCAGGAAUUGCAUCUGAUACUGCUUGGCUUGAGUACGGUAGAGGUGAGUGGAACUGCGAGUGUAGAGGUGAAAUUCGUAGAUAUUCGCAAGAACACCAGUGGCGAAGGCGGCUCACUGGCCCGAUACUGACGCUGAGGCAUGAAAGCGUGGGGAGCAAACAGG
rnacentral:rRNA from 1 species